rfam:Columba livia unplaced genomic scaffold scaffold698, whole genome shotgun sequence.
AGCACAAAUGAUGAUUAUAAGGGACUUAAUACUGAAGUGUGAUGUCACUUUUUUGAGCUGAAACUGAUGUGC